UGAAGAGCAGGAGGCAGUGAACCGUCUUCCGCAACGCGGGCGCCUGGAAGACGGGGAGCCAGUGGCGCGACCGGCCUCGUCCGCG
rfam:Oceanithermus profundus DSM 14977, complete genome.